rnacentral:rRNA from 1 species
CCUACGGGGCGCAGCAGUAGGGAAUUUUCGUCAAUGGGCGCAAGCCUGAACGAGCAAUGCCGCGUGAACGAGGAAGGUCUUCGGAUCGUAAAGUUCUGUUGAAGGGGAAAAAGAGCGGAGAGAGGAAAUGGUCUCCGAUUGAUAUUACCCUUCGAGGAAGUCACGGCUAACUACGUGCCAGCAGCCGCGGUAAUACGGAGGAUGCGAGCGUUAUCCGGAUUUACUGGGUGUAAAGGGAGCGUAGGCGGCCUGGCAAGCCUGAUGUGAAAUACCGGGGCCCAACCCCGGGGCUGCAUUGGGAACUG